UGUCUUUGGUGUAUGGUAAUGGUUUGG
rnacentral:piRNA from 1 species